rnacentral:rRNA from 1 species
AGUAACACGUGGAUAACCUACCUAUAAGACUGGGAUAACUUCGGGAAACCGGAGCUAAUACCGGAUAAUAUUUUGAACCGCAUGGUUCAAAAGUGAAAGACGGUCUUGCUGUCACUUAUAGAUGGAUCCGCGCUGCAUUAGCUAGUUGGUAAGGUAACGGCUUAUCAAGGCAACGAUGCAUAGCCGACCUGAGAGGGUGAUCGGCCACACUGGAACUGAGACACGGUCCAGACUCCUACGGGAGGCAGCAGCU